rnacentral:rRNA from 1 species
UCUGCUGAGAUUAAGCUUCAGUUGUCCGAUUUG